rnacentral:misc_RNA from 1 species
UCUCCGUUGGUGAACCAGCGGAGGGAUCAUUAUAGAGUUGCAAAACUCCCAAACCAUUGUGAACGUUACCUAUCCCGUUCCUUCGCCGGGCGGCCCGGGCCCCGCGCCCGGCGCCCCCCGGCCCCCCGUGGGCGCCCCCCGGAGGUAAACCAAACCCCUGAAUUGCAUGGCCGCUCUGAGUCGUCUGUACUCAAUAAGUCAAAACUUUCAACAGCGGAUCUCUUGGUUCUG